CCUCAUUUAAGGACUGACAGCCACUCUUGAAGGAGCUCUGGUUGCAGUUUUCUCUUUUGUGGACUUUUCCCUGUGAGCCUAUAUCUUUAGAGACAGGACAAGAGAUAAAUAGGUGAAUGAUGUCACUCCUCUUCUGUGACAGGUAACCACAUUCCUCUUUAUAAUACUGUCAAUCUCAUCUUAAAGGUAAGUAGAGUUCUUAUCCUAGUGACUCAGCUCAGUUGCCUGUGCUGGAGCUUCUAAUUGAUGACAGUACAUUCCAUUUUGCAUGCUUUUAUCAGCAUUUAAGAGGGUGGGUUUUCCAUGCACCAAAGGACUGGAAACUUGCUACUAUAACAGGAUCAAGAUGUCCAGGUAUUCUUCCAACAGCAUCAAGGACUUCUUGCUAUCAUGCAUUUCUGAUUUUAUGUUUUACAGAAGCUCCAGUUAUAUGAAGAUAGUUCUAUGGAUCAAUAUGAUAAUAGUUUAGAAGUAAAUCUGUCUUUCUGUAGUAGCCAGAAACACCACCUUUUUCAUACCUCCUCCAUCUCCCAAGCCAGAAGCACCAUGAGACUUUCAGUGAAAUCCUGGGAAUGGCAAGGCUAGCACCAGAGGUGACCAGAAGUUUUGGAAUUUAAAUCCAGUAACUGUGUCUGUUAAUCUUGUAUUGGUUACAAAAAUAAAUUCCCUAAUUGAGGUGCCAUUGUCAAACCUGGAAUUCAUCAGCUCCCCCUGCAGCAGCUGGUAGGCAUUCUUUUCCAACGUAGAAAGCACCACACUGACUAUGGCAUGCCCUGGGCUCCUCUACAGUGAUGUCUCUUACAAACAUCUCCAGUGCUAAGCAAGCAGGGUGACAGUAAAGUGCUCUCUUCCUGCAGGACUCCCGUAUCAAGUACAUAAAAAAAACCAUAGUGUGUGAAAACAAUGAAAUAGCUAUAUUUAGUCAUUUCUAACUUGAAAUAGAGCUUCUGCUUGAAAUGAGUUUACUAUGAGGUCCGGUAAAAAUCAUAGAAUCAUAGAAUGGCUUGGGUUUGAAGGGACCUCAAAGAUCAUCUAAUUCCACCCUCCUGCCAUGGGCAGGGUUGUCAACCACUAAAUCAGGUGCUAGAUCAGUCUGCUCAAGGUCCCAUCCAACCUGGCUUUGAACACCUCCAGGGAUGGGACAUCCACAAGUUCUCUGGGAAACCUGUUCCAUCAUAUCACCAACCUCUGACUGAAAAAUGUUCCACCUAACAUGUAGCCCAAAUCUCUCCUCUUUUAGUUUAAAACUGUUCCUCCUUGUCCUAUCACUAUUGGACCAUGGAAAAAGUUGGUGUCCCUCCUGUUUAUAGGUUCUGCUCAAGUACUGGAUGGCCGCAGUGAGGUUUACUCAGAGCCUUCUCAUCUCCAGACUGAACAAGGCUCCUUCAACCUUUCUUCAUAGGAGAGGUGUUCCAGCCUUCUUUGUGGCCCUCCUCUGGAACUGCUCCAACAACUCCUUAUCUUUCUUAUGCUGGGAACCUCAGAUGCAGUACUCCAGAUGAGGCAUCACAAGGUCGGAGUAGAGGGGGACAAAAACCCCUCUUCUUGUGAACUCUGGCCACUCCUCUUCUGAUGCAGCCCAAGAUGUAGUUGGCCUUCCAGGCUGCAAGCACACACAGCUGGCUCAUGUCCAGCUUUUAAUCCACCAGAACCCCCAAGUCCUUCUCUGCAGGGCUGCUCUCAAUUAGUUCUUCUCCCAGUCUGCACACGUCUGGAAUUGCUGUGACUUAAGUGCAAAACCUUGCACUUCACCCUACUGAACCUCGGUAUGUUCAUGUGGGCUCACUUCUCAAGCUUAUCCAGGUCCUUCUAGAUGGCAUCCCUCCCUUCUAUUAUAUCAACUACAUCACUUAGCUAGGUGUCGUCAGCAAACUUGCUGAGGGUGCACUUGUUCCCACUGUCUAGGUCACUGAUAAAGAUGUUAAAGAG
ensembl:lncRNA